GUAAGACUUAAACAGAGAAGAGACGAUGUUAGAUUUAAAAGGUGCUGGUAUGUACAUUUUGUUACAUUUGCCCCAGGCAAGGCUAAUCAUUCCCUCUGGUUUCAGUCUUAGCUUAAGAGCAACUGGUUGUCGCUUCAUAUUUACCUACAGUCAUGAGACUGAUCGCUUCUAUGAUAAUGAUAUAAGUGUAGAUAUAAAAACAGUUGAGCUAUUCCUUUAAAAAGAGAUUUCUGGUCUACUUUGAGCCUGGUUGUAAAACUUCAGCAAAGUUAAAUGGAACACUUGCAUGCCCAGAGUUAAACAAUGAACCAGUUUGAAUUGCACUGCAGCCCUCAAUUGAUUUCUCUGUGGAGGGAAACUAAAAUUGAUGUAAAUCUGUCUUGAGAGCCAAUAUCCCUCAACUAAUAUACAGAUGGAGAGAACAUGGGGUUAUGAGAUAUGCUAAUAUAUGCUGCUGCUUCAAGAGAGGAAGCAGGAGGGAAACAGACAUCUUGGUAAAAACAUCUGCCUACAGCUAAAGAUGUCGUUAUGUUUCGGUUCUUGAAUGGAUUAACUGCGAUGGAUUAAGACACUAAUUUAUGUGUUAAUUUGUGAGGGGUUUGUCGAGUGAGUUUUUUCAAAUUUCGACAGAUGAGGUUUUACCAUGCUUGUUUCCAGUCCCCAUGCUAAGCUAAGCUAACCAUUACCUGGCAGCAUUAAGUAUAUGUGAUUCUCCUGCAAUGAUUUCGUGAGCUGAGUGUAUUAACAGUACAUUUUAAAAGACAGUCCUAAAUAAUUAACUAGAAGGUUCACAAUUGGGAUAUUUUUCAGACUGCUGAUAUUAUUUGGGGGAGAACGUAAUUGUCUCUAUUUCCAGGGAGGCUAAAUUGGAUGUAUUAUUCAUGCUAGUGCGUGUACACUGAGUGUGCUGACCUGAGUGCAUUAGCUUUUAAAAUAAUUCUCAAAUGUUUUUUUUUUUGGGUCCACUAACCCAUUUUCUGAGUCUCUAAAAUAAAAGCCCACUGGUACAGUAUGACUGCAGGCUCUGCUGCUGUGUGUCAAGUGGAAGAGUCUUUUUAAGCCCCCUUGAUAUCCUUGUUUUCUAAAUGACUUUUUGCAUUGUGCUCUUUUCCCUUCCCUCCUCCCCUCAGGCAUCAACACCCAUAUCAUGGCCUAAAAUAGUCAAUUUGUUUCUUGUAGGCGUAAUGGCUGGUACCUAGUACGGGCUAAAUUGUUGAAAUUGUGCUGAAGUGAGGAGCCUGUUAAGAGCUGUCAUGUUGUGUCUCAGCAGCAGGCCUGAUCCUGUUAGUUCUGCUCAGGACAACGAGGGAGACCAGAUUUUCUCUUUUCUUUCUGCCUCUGUGUAACCAUGUGUAUGUAUUUGCUCAUGUGUGGUUAUAGCUCGAGGAUCGAGUGCAGACACAGCGCUUAUUGAAUGUGAAAAGUCAUGACUGUGAGCUCCUAUAUGUGGCCAUAUCCAGGCUUCUUCUCAGCCCAAACACGUUCCUGAGAUACCAGUGAAGCAUUUCUUUUUUUUUUAGCCAUGCUAGCAGAAUUGCUCUAGGGAUGGAAACGUUGGUCAGUUGGUUGGUCCAGACAGAGAUCUCUCAUUAACUAAUAGAUGGAUUGGCACAACAUUUUCAAGUCCUCUGGUUUUGAGGAUCCUCUGACUUUUCAUGUAACAUCAACAGCUUGUCAAGUAUUUAACUUCUUUGAAUAGUACCCCUCCUCAGCAGCAGGCAACAGACAGAUCAAUGGAGGGAAAUAGUGUUGGAGCAUCAUUAAUUCAUAACAAUUCAUUCCCUUUAGCUGCGUAAUGAGAUUAUACUUAGUGGAUAGUGAAUAGCAGCAGCCUGUAGUGUACAGCUGAUGAACAGUGCUGCUGCCGCCUUUGCUUUCAGACAGAGAACGAGGUUUCUGACCACUGAUGGUCAGUCCCAAGCCCCCAAGAACAGGUGGCUGGCUAAAGUCUCAAGUGCACAUGCUCUAAUGAGGCGCACAAUGUGGAAGCUCCAUGGAAAAUCAGGGUAAAAAUUUGCCAGGAAGUGAAACGUUUUUCGGCUUAACGACCACUGAGCAGCUAUCACGUUUGAACGGGGUUCGGCCUUUGACACUGUGUCCAAGUUUUCUCUUAAUAGGUCCGUGGUCACAAUGCCAUGUAAAGCAAGGGCGAGCAUCCCAUGGAAAUCACAACUGCAGAGCCUUCAAUGGGAACCAAGAGCAGACAGGCUGGUGUAUCCUCUCUGGGCUAUUGCGCGGAAGAAGGAAAAAAAAAACGUUACAGUGAACUGGGGAGACAACAGCCUGUGCAUGUAAUGGAAAGUCACCUUCGGGCCAACAAUAUCCUGCUGCCUCCUCAGAGCUGUCAGAGGCUCUUCAGAGAGUUGUUGACCUGAGCUGAACUGAACGAAAUGCCACAAUAACAUGAAAGGCUCAUUGGAGAGGUGGCUGCAAGGUGGUGCGGGAGAAACAUGAGUGCUUCCAACCCACCUGGACGUGUUCUCCAGAGUGCUGCGGACCUCGCUCAUCUGCUCCUUCCCGAAAUACACCACGGUCAGAUGGACCCGGCCGUCCUGCCGCACACACACUUCCCU